GACGAACGCUGGCGGCGUGCUUAACACAUGCAAGUCGAACGGAAAGGCCCUGCUUUUGUGGGGUGCUCGAGUGGCGAACGGGUGAGUAACACGUGAGUAACCUGCCCUUGACUUUGGGAUAACUUCAGGAAACUGGGGCUAAUACCGGAUAGGAGCUCCUGCUGCAUGGUGGGGGUUGGAAAGUUUCGGCGGUUGGGGAUGGACUCGCGGCUUAUCAGCUGGUUGGUGGGGUAGUGGCGUACCAAGGCUUUGACGGGUAGCCGGCCUGAGAGGGUGACCGGCGACAUUGGGACUGGGAUACGGCCCAGACUCCUACGGGAGGCAGCAGUGGGGAAUAUUGCACAAUGGGCGGAAGCCUGAUGCAGCAACGCCGCGUGCGGGAUGACGGCCUUCGGGUUGUAAACCGCUUUCGCCUGUGACGAAGCGUGAGUGACGGUAAUGGGUAAAGAAGCACCGGCUAACUACGUG
rnacentral:rRNA from 1 species